rnacentral:rRNA from 1 species
UACAGAGGGGGCAAGCGUUGUUCGGAAUUACUGGGCGUAAAGGGCGCGUAGGCGGCCUGUUAAGUCGAACGUGAGAUCCCCGGGCUCAACCCGGGAACUGCGUCCGAUACUGGCAGGCUUGAAUUCGGGAGAGGGAUGUGGAAUUCCAGGUGUAGCGGUGAAAUGCGUAGAUAUCUGGAGGAACACCGGUGGCGAAGGCGGCAUCCUGGACCGAUAUUGACGCUGAUGCGCGAAAGCCAGGGGAGCAAACGGG